AACGAACGCUGGCGGCAGGCUUAACACAUGCAAGUCGAGCGGACCCUUCGGGGUCAGCGGCAGACGGGUGAGUAACGCGUGGGAAUCUACCCAGCUCUACGGAAUAACUCAGGGAAACCU
rnacentral:rRNA from 1 species